UUCAAAAACGUGCUUGAGUUUGAAACGAUUAAUCAAUCCAUCAGCGGAGAGGGGCGAGGAAGAAUAUACAAAUAAUUAUUUUAAAAAAAGGACCACAACCUUGAGAUUCUGACUGAGCAUACCGUGUGUACCGGGAACAGAUAAGGAGGAGCAGAAUUGACUGAGGUCGGCAGAAGAUUGAGAUGUGGUCUGAGAACUUCUGGCGAGUUGGACCGCUUUUGGCUGACUGUCCAAUCAGGUCUCCACUUUGCCGAAAGUCCCUUCCGGGGGCCUGUAAUGCCUGGGGAAGGCCUUCAGCUGCAGGGAGUUGAAAGCGUACUUGCGGCAUCCGACGUUCUUCAUGGUGUUCUCCCGCCGACAGCCCUCGCUGGAGGUGGCCAGGGCGGCGGGGCAGCAGGAACACGGAGGGCGCGACCGCGAAAAAAGCAAACGGGACAGAGCAAAAACAGCCGUUGUUAAAAGACAAUAAACACCCAAAAACCAUAGAACUAUUA